rnacentral:misc_RNA from 1 species
GGAAGGAUCAUUAUUAUUGUUUUACAAUUACAACUCUGUGAAUGCGAUGUGUGGUACCCAGCGACUUUCACUCUGUGGAAGGACCAGGGGUCUAUUGGUCGAACGUCUAUAGACCACUAGGCCCCUGUGUUUCUGACACGGGGAGGAAAGUUUGUUGAGCGCCACAAAGGUGUGAACGAGGCCAAUAAGAACACCAAUUAGACUAUGACUAGAACAACAACCGAAUUGUAAACGUAUUAGCAACGGAUACCUCGGUUCUCACAACGAUGAAGAACGCAGCGAAACGCGAUAUGUAAUGCGAAUUGCAGAAUUCAGUGAAUCAUCAAAUCUUUGAACGCAAGUUGCGCUUUUGGGUAUUCCUGAGAGCAUGCCUCUUUGAGUAUCGUUUCAACUCAUUCUAUGCCUUGAUUGUGUAUGGAGAUGUCGGGAGUCCUUGACUCUCUAGAAACUGUGUUAGUUAAUUGGUAGAUGGGUCCCUAUGGAAGAAUGAUAUCAAAACGCAAGUCUUAAUAGCAUAAUUCUGUGUGGGGCAUUCCAAACUGUUUAUCCAUCCAAACUAAAGGUUUGAUUUGGUGCUCUCGAGUCCAAAUCGAAAUCAAACUACAAAAGAUCUCAAAUGAGGUAAGAGGACCCGCUGAAUUUAAGCAUAUAAGUAAGCGGAGGAAAAGAAACUAACUAGGAUUCCCUUAGUAAGGGCGACUGAACAGGGAAGAGCUCAAACCGAAAAUCUCAGCAGUCUCUGCUGCGAAUUGUGGUCUACAGAAACGUGGUCAGUGACAGUCUCGGUCAAAGUCUGUUGGAAUACAGCUGCAAAGAGGGUGAGACUCCCGUCUUGGGCUUGAGAUCCUGUCGCGUACGAUCCGUUUUCUAAGAGUCGGGUUGCUUGGGAACGCAGCCUUAAAUGGGUGGUAAAUUCCAUCUAAAGCUAAAUAUAUGUGAGAGACCGAUAGCGAACAAGUACCGUGAGGGAAAGGUGAAAAGAACUUUGAAAAGAAAGUUAAAAGUACUUGAAAUUGCUAAUAUUCAAGCGAUAAGGACUAGUGUAUGUCCGCGCCAUAUUCUUGUUCGCUUUCUGUGAGCAAGUCCUGUGAGUGCGAGCUGUGUCAGAAUGGAUUUGAUUGGAGUUUAAUGGACAGUGGGAAUGUAGAUACUUCGGUAUUGUUGCCCAUUGUUUCGCCAACCCCGAUCAGAUUGAGGUACGAUUCUGACGAAAUAGUCCUUAUCGGCCCGUCUUGAAACACGGACCAAGGAGUCUAACGUAUAUGCGAGUCUUUGAGUGCAAAACUCGAGGGCGCAAUGAAAGUAAAUUCGUUUCUUCGGAUUCGAUGAGAUGUUAAACCUGCAAAGGUAUCCGCAUCGCCCGGCUUCUCCAUUGUGAGGGGUUCGAGGUCGAGCAUACCCGUUAGGACCCGAAAGAUGGUGAACUAUGCCUGAGCAGGGUGAAGCCAGGGGAAACUCUGGUGGAGGCUCGUAGCGAUACUGACGUGCAAAUCGUUCGUCGGACUUGGGUAUAGGGGCGAAAGACUAAUCGAACCAUCUAGUAGCUGGUUCCCUU